rnacentral:rRNA from 1 species
UACGUAGGUGGCAAGCGUUGUCCGGAUUUACUGGGCGUAAAGGGCGUGCAGGCGGUUCGUUAAGUUCGAGGUGAAAGCUCCCGGCUCAACUGGGAGAGGUCCCCGGAUACUGGCGGACUUGAGGGAGGCAGAGGAAAGUGGAAUUCCCGGUGUAGUGGUGAUAUGCGUAGAUAUCGGGAGGAACACCAGUGGCGAAGGCGGCUUUCUGGGCCUUACCUGACGCUGAGACGCGAAAGCGUGGGGAGCGAACCGG